rnacentral:rRNA from 1 species
AUGCAAUACGGAAGCUUUUCGUGGAGCAUCCACAGAUUAGGGCCAAAUCCAGCUCCCCGGUGCAGUUAUUCAGGACUUCGUCAACCCUGUGAUGCACCUUUUGACUACUUUUCAGCACAAGAUCAACACACAGGAGAUGCAUCCACACAAAAGGUAACAAACAAAUUAAAAGUGAGCUAUAUAAGAAAUAGUCGCAUACUCCAGGCUAGCAAAUUACAUGAUUCUCAUCUUGUUCUUGGUAUAGACAUCAGGACUCUGAUGCGGUCACUCGGUGAGGACGAUCACGUUCUUUCAUCAUUUUCCUCUUAA